rnacentral:lncRNA from 13 species
UCUGGCUUCACUGCCAGCACCCACAGAUCCUAUGGGUGUCUUCCACUGUCUGUCAAAUCCAGGAUAUUGGAAAGCAAAUCUAUGUCUUUUAGGGGCCUAAAUUAAGAAACAUUUUUUGGCAUUAAAAAAAAAAAAAUCUCAGGCCAAAAUUUUAAAUGCUUUGAUCAAAAUGUUCCUCUUAGGUUGUUAACUGCUUUUUAAAACUAGUGUAUUAAGCAUGUCCUCAUUGCUUUGGAGCACCACGUGGCCCUACCUCAGAUGGAUUGAUGGAGAAAUAGAAGUCCUGGGACAAUUCAUUGGGAUGACUGCCCACAAGGAGACCAAACAGCAGCAAAGGAGAAUUGGAGUGUUACGGCAAUUCAGCAUUCACAGUGGGAUCACCCAUCAUUGUUGGGAAAUGAACAGUAAGCCCUCAUUGUAAAUUUGACUUCUUGCACAGCUCGUAGCAUCCUCAAGACAAACUGAUGAGCAAGGCAAGUGUGAGGCAAUUGUUUGCCCUUGAUACAGCAAAUGUAACAGUUAAAAGAUGGGCUUGUUUUGAGACGAAAUGAUCUUUUCUGAGAACCUGAAAAGCAAGUUACUUCUUGGUUUAUGACUUUGCAUAACCUCUUUCCCUUAAAUUAAACUUGUACCUAGAAAGUCACUAUGUAUUUAACCUUCUU